rnacentral:lncRNA from 1 species
UAGAUCAAACACAUACUAUCACUGCCUCACAACCUUCCUUUUUUUUUCCUUGACAUGGCCUCGCAAUUAACCUCUCUUUUUUCGAAACGGAAGACGGCCUCACAACUUCGCUCAAUUUCUACCACAUACAUUACACAACCUACGAGUCGCAUCGCGUCGUGUCGGAUCGGGAUAAGUGAGAGCAACCUGAAACGGAAGAUGGUCUUUGCUUAAUUUCCACCGCAAACAUUACAUAACCCACGAGUCGCAUCGCGUCGUGUCAAAUCCGGCAUACGUGAGAAGAACCCAAAACAAAAAAUGGUAUUACAACUUCGUUUAAUCUGUACCGCAAACAUUACAUAACCCACGAAUCGCAUCACGUUGUGUCAAAUCAGGAUACGUGAGAAGAAGCCAAAACAAAAAAUGGUAUUACAACUUCGUUUAAUCUGUACCGCAAACAUUACAUAACCCACAAGUCGCAUCUCGUCGCGUCGGAUCGGGAUACGUGAGAACAACAAUAACAGAAAAAAAAAACGUGACCCUUCAGGUUAGCCGCAAC